CAAGGAUUAUCGGACCCGCAUGCGCGCGCGGGCGCAUGCGUGCUAGAUUGGGUGGCGGCAUGGCGGACCUUGCCCAGCAGGUGCUGCGGACCGAUCCCU
rnacentral:miRNA from 1 species